UUCUUCGGGAUCUUGAGAGCGGCGUACGGGUGCGGAACACGUGUGCAACCUGCCUUUAUCUGGGGGAUAGCCUUUCGAAAGGAAGAUUAAUACCCCAUAAUAUACUGGAUGGCAUCAUUCGGUAUUGAAAACUCCGGUGGAUAGAGAUGGGCACGCGCAAGAUUAGAUAGUUGGUGAGGUAACGGCUCACCAAGUCUGCGAUCUUUAGGGGGCCUGAGAGGGUGAUCCCCCACACUGGUACUGAGACACGGACCAGACUCCUACGGGAGGCAGCAGUGAGGAAUAUUGGACAAUGGGUGAGAGCCUGAUCCAGCCAUCCCGCGUGAAGGACGACGGCCCUAUGGGUUGUAAACUUCUUUUGUAUAGGGAUAAACCUACUCUCGUGAGAGUAGCUGAAGGUACUAUACGAAUAAGCACCGGCUAACUCCGUGCCAGCAGCCGCGGUAAUACGGAGGGUGCAAGCNUUAUCCGGAUUUAUUGGGUUUAAAGGGUCCGUAGGCGGAUCUGUAAGUCAGUGGUGAAAUCUCACAGCUUAACUGUGAAACUGCCAUUGAUACUGCANGUCUUGAGUGUUGUUGAAGUAGCUGGAAUAAGUAGUGUAGCGGUGAAAUGCAUAGAUAUUACUUAGAACACCAAUUGCGAAGGCAGGUUACUAAGCAACAACUGACGCUGAUGGACGAAAGCGUGGGGAGCGAACAGGAUUAGAUACCCUGGUAGUCCACGCCGUAAACGAUGCUAACUCGUUUUUGGGUUUUCGGAUUCAGAGACUAAGCGAAAGUGAUAAGUUAGCCACCUGGGGAGUACGUUCGCAAGAAUGAAACUCAAAGGAAUUGACGGGGGCCCGCACAAGCGGUGGAUUAUGUGGUUUAAUUCGAUGAUACGCGAGGAACCUUACCAAGGCUUAAAUGGGAAAUGACAGGUUUAGAAAUAGACUUUUCUUCGGACAUUUUUCAAGGUGCUGCAUGGUUGUCGUCAGCUCGUGCCGUGAGGUGUUAGGUUAAGUCCUGCAACGAGCGCAACCCCUGUCACUAGUUGCCAUCAUUAAGUUGGGGACUCUAGUGAGACUGCCUACGCAAGUAGAGAGGAAGGUGGGGAUGACGUCAAAUCAUCACGGCCCUUACGCCUUGGGCCACACACGUAAUACAAUGGCCGGUACAGAGGGCAGCUACACAGCGAUGUGAUGCAAAUCUCGAAAGCCGGUCUCAGUUCGGAUUGGAGUCUGCAACUCGACUCUAUGAAGCUGGAAUCGCUAGUAAUCGCGCAUCAGCCAUGGCGCGGUGAAUACGUUCCCGGGCCUUGUACACACCGCCCGUCAAGCCAUGGAAGUCUGGGGUACCUGAAGU
rnacentral:rRNA from 1 species